AUAUAUUAUUAGCUACUUUUAGGAGCCAAAAUAACUUUCAGCAAAAGAAUGCGCAUCUUUCAACUUUUUCCUGUUUCGUUUUUUUCCUCGGGUGAAACCCCCUUUUUCUUUUUUUACUGAGACGGCCGCAUUAGCUCAUCGCCAUCACGCCUCCGUGGCCGCCGCUGCCGCUCAAUUGAUCCAUUAGCCGGCCGACAGUGCAUCUCCCGACGAGCUCUGGCGCGCGGCGGGGCAGGGUCUUUGCCCCGCUACUGGUGUUGGUCAUGGCAAUGGUGCGGGCGCGACCCGCGCGGCUGCUAGCGCUGCCGAUGGGCGAUGGUUGCUAUAAUGGUUUCAAUUUUAAGUAGAUGGCUAUGAUGCUGCUGGAGUGGAGACAUGCCACUAUCACUAUGGUUUGCUGCAUCAAAUCUCCCUCGAUUGGGGUAUUUUGUUUAGCUCUCUGUAUUUCCAUUUGUUCUGUUCCUUUGACCAAAUGUACCUUUUUUUCAAUGCUAAAGUUUUAGUUCCAAUCUACUCAGACUUUUAGCACUCCAUAAGCUAUUGUAGGAAUAUGCCAUAAGCUAGUACCUCCCUGGCUCCAUUUGUGUGUUCUCUCAUUGGGCUAUUUGCAUUUUGGUGGCUAGUAUACCACUUCGUUU